AGUAAAGUAGUCUAAAUUAAAGGCAUUAGGUUGUAGCCCUAAAGAUGAGGAGGAUCUCCUUUGCAA
rnacentral:tRNA from 1 species